GGGCCCGCACAAGCGGUGGAGUAUGUGGUUUAAUUCGAAGCAACGCGAAGAACCUUACCAGCCCUUGACAUCCUAGGACGGCUUCCAGAGAUGGAUUCCUUCCAGCAAUGGACCUAGAGACAGAUGCUGCAUGGCUGUCGUCAGCUCGUGUCGUGAGAUGUUGGGUUAAGUCCCGCAACGAGCGCAACCCUCGCCUUUAGUUGCCAGCGGUUCGGCCGGGCACUCUAAAGGGACUGCCGGUGAUAAGCCGGAGGAAGGUGGGGAUGACGUCAAGUCCUCAUGGCUCUUACGGGCUGGGCUACACACGUACUACAAUGGCGGUGACAGAGGGCAAAUCCCUAAAAGCCGUCUCAGUUCGGAUUGUGCUCUGCAACUCGAGUGCAUGAAGGUGGAAUCGCUAGUAAUCGCGGAUCAGCACGCCGCGGUGAAUACGUUCCCGGGCCUU
rnacentral:rRNA from 1 species